rnacentral:rRNA from 1 species
AGAAGCGCAUACGGUGGAUGCCUUGGCAGUCAGAGGCGAUGAAAGACGUGGUAGCCUGCGAAAAGCUUCGGGGAGUCGGCAAACAGACUUUGAUCCGGAGAUGUCUGAAUGGGGGAACCCAGCCAUCAUAAGAUGGUUACCUUACACUGAAUACAUAGGUGUAUGGAGCGAACCAGGGGAACUGAAACAUCUAAGUACCCUGAGGAAAAGAAAUCAACCGAGAUUCCCUUAGUAGUGGCGAGCGAACGGGGACUAGCCCUUAAGUGGCUUUGAGAUUAGCGGAACGCUCUGGAAAGUGCGGCCAUAGUGGGUGAUAGCCCUGUACGCGAAAAUCUCUUAGUCAUGAAAUCGAGUAGGACGGAGCACGAGAAACUUUGUCUGAAUAUGGGGGGACCAUCCUCCAAGGCUAAAUACUACUGACUGACCGAUAGUGAACUAGUACCGUGAGGGAAAGGCGAAAAGAACCCCGGAGAGGGGAGUGAAAUAGAUCCUGAAACCGUAUGCGUACAAGCAGUGGGAGCCCACUUUGUUGGGUGACUGCGUACCUUUUGUAUAAUGGGUCAGCGACUUAUUUUCAGUGGCGAGCUUAACCGAAUAGGGGAGGCGUAGCGAAAGCGAGUCUUAAUAGGGCGUCUAGUCGCUGGGAAUAGACCCGAAACCGGGCGAUCUAUCCAUGGGCAGGUUGAAGGUUGGGUAACACUAACUGGAGGACCGAACCGACUACCGUUGAAAAGUUAGCGGAUGACCUGUGGAUCGGAGUGAAAGGCUAAUCAAGCUCGGAGAUAGCUGGUUCUCCUCGAAAGCUAUUUAGGUAGCGCCUCAUGUAUCACUGUAGGGGGUAGAGCACUGUUUCGGCUAGGGGGUCAUCCCGACUUACCAAACCGAUGCAAACUCCGAAUACCUACAAGUGCCGAGCAUGGGAGACACACGGCGGGUGCUAACGUCCGUCGUGAAAAGGGAAACAACCCAGACCGUCAGCUAAGGUCCCAAAGUUAUGGUUAAGUGGGAAACGAUGUGGGAAGGCUUAGACAGCUAGGAGGUUGGCUUAGAAGCAGCCACCCUUUAAAGAAAGCGUAAUAGCUCACUAGUCGAGUCGGCCUGCGCGGAAGAUGUAACGGGGCUCAAACCAUACACCGAAGCUACGGGUAUCACGUAAGUGAUGCGGUAGAGGAGCGUUCUGUAAGCCUGUGAAGGUGAGUUGAGAAGCUUGCUGGAGGUAUCAGAAGUGCGAAUGCUGACAUGAGUAACGACAAUGGGUGUGAAAAACACCCACGCCGAAAGACCAAGGUUUCCUGCGCAACGUUAAUCGACGCAGGGUUAGUCGGUCCCUAAGGCGAGGCUGAAAAGCGUAGUCGAUGGAAAACAGGUUAAUAUUCCUGUACUUCUGGUUAUUGCGAUGGAGGGACGGAGAAGGCUAGGCCAGCUUGGCGUUGGUUGUCCAAGUUUAAGGUGGUAGGCUGAGAUCUUAGGUAAAUCCGGGAUCUUAAGGCCGAGAGCUGAUGACGAGUCAUCUUUUAGAUGACGAAGUGGUUGAUGCCAUGCUUCCAAGAAAAGCUUCUAAGCUUCAGGUAACCAGGAACCGUACCCCAAACCGACACAGGUGGUUGGGUAGAGAAUACCAAGGCGCUUGAGAGAACUCGGGUGAAGGAACUAGGCAAAAUGGCACCGUAACUUCGGGAGAAGGUGCGCCGGUGAGGGUGAAGGACUUGCUCCGUAAGCUCAUGCCGGUCGAAGAUACCAGGCCGCUGCGACUGUUUAUUAAAAACACAGCACUCUGCAAACACGAAAGUGGACGUAUAGGGUGUGACGCCUGCCCGGUGCCGGAAGGUUAAUUGAUGGGGUUAGCUAACGCGAAGCUCUUGAUCGAAGCCCCGGUAAACGGCGGCCGUAACUAUAACGGUCCUAAGGUAGCGAAAUUCCUUGUCGGGUAAGUUCCGACCUGCACGAAUGGCGUAACGAUGGCGGCGCUGUCUCCACCCGAGACUCAGUGAAAUUGAAAUCGCUGUGAAGAUGCAGUGUAUCCGCGGCUAGACGGAAAGACCCCGUGAACCUUUACUAUAGCUUUGCACUGGACUUUGAAUUUGCUUGUGUAGGAUAGGUGGGAGGCUUUGAAGCGUGGACGCCAGUCUGCGUGGAGCCAACCUUGAAAUACCACCCUGGCAACUUUGAGGUUCUAACUCAGGUCCGUUAUCCGGAUCGAGGACAGUGUAUGGUGGGUAGUUUGACUGGGGCGGUCUCCUCCUAAAGAGUAACGGAGGAGUACGAAGGUGCGCUCAGACCGGUCGGAAAUCGGUCGUAGAGUAUAAAGGCAAAAGCGCGCUUGACUGCGAGACAGACACGUCGAGCAGGUACGAAAGUAGGUCUUAGUGAUCCGGUGGUUCUGUAUGGAAGGGCCAUCGCUCAACGGAUAAAAGGUACUCCGGGGAUAACAGGCUGAUACCGCCCAAGAGUUCAUAUCGACGGCGGUGUUUGGCACCUCGAUGUCGGCUCAUCACAUCCUGGGGCUGAAGCCGGUCCCAAGGGUAUGGCUGUUCGCCAUUUAAAGUGGUACGCGAGCUGGGUUUAGAACGUCGUGAGACAGUUCGGUCCCUAUCUGCCGUGGACGUUUGAGAUUUGAGAGGGGCUGCUCCUAGUACGAGAGGACCGGAGUGGACGAACCUCUGGUGUUCCGGUUGUCACGCCAGUGGCAUUGCCGGGUAGCUAUGUUCGGAAUAGAUAACCGCUGAAAGCAUCUAAGCGGGAAACUAGCCUCAAGAUGAGAUCUCACUGGAACCUUGAGUUCCCUGAAGGGCCGUCGAAGACUACGACGUUGAUAGGUUGGGUGUGUAAGCGCUGUGAGGCGUUGAGCUAACCAAUACUAAUUGCCCGUGAGGCUUGACC